AAGCUAUGAUGUGGACACUUUCUUAAUAGGUCUUUGAAUCUCUCCCAAGCAUCAUACAAACUUUCUUGAUCAUGGUGAGCAAAAUUCAUUAUCUCAUUGCGAAGCUU
rnacentral:snoRNA from 1 species